rnacentral:rRNA from 1 species
UACGAAGGGUGCUAGCGUUGUUCGGAAUUACUGGGCGUAAAGCGCGCGUAGGCGGCUUUGUAAGUCAGGGGUGAAAUCCCACAGCUUAACUGUGGAACUGCCUUUGAAACUGCAAAGCUUGAGUGUCGGAGGGGAUAGCGGAAUUGCUAAUGUAGAGGUGAAAUUCGUAGAUAUUAGCAGGAACACCGGUGGCGAAGGCGGCUAUCUGGACGACAACUGACGCUGAGGCGCGAAAGCGUGGGGAGCAAACAGG